GGUGAGUAACGCGUAUCCAACCUGCCCAACCACUUGGGGAUAACCUUGCGAAAGUAAGACUAAUACCCAAUGACGUCUCUAGAAGACAUCUGAAGGAGAUUAAAGAUUUAUCGGUGAUGGAUGAGGAUGCGUUCUGAUUAGGCUUGUUGGCCGGGGUAACGGCCACCAAGGCAACGAUCAGUAGGGGUUCUGAGAGGAAGGUCCCCCACAUUGGAACU
rnacentral:ncRNA from 1 species